rnacentral:lncRNA from 1 species
CUAAUUUCUUCUCUUGCUGACACCAUUUGUCAGAUUAGAUUAUCAAAUGUGACUAACCUGUAUGAAAGUAACAUGGAGAAAGUCCCAUGUUUCUCAUGGGAGUAUCUUAUGAUCAGUUAUUUAUAGAGAGCUAUUCAUGGACACAGACUCUACGGAGAUCGUUUUCAGUCCUGAAAAUAUCGCUUUCAACUUAAUCGCUUCAACGUGUGAAGCUUUCUCUCUUUCAGAAGAGCAAGACCUUGCAGUCACAUGUUGCUGGAUCAGACAUAACCUGAAGAUUUAACAUCUGCAUCCAAUUAAAAAGCAGUGCUUCCCUACAAAAAGGUGAUCCUGGUUGUGCCGACUGGCUAUGUAUAAUUCUGCAUACGUACUUGAUGAUCAUUCCGAUGAUGAAAUCCCCACCCAGCAAGCUAUUCAAGAAAGCUUACAAGACAUUCAUAAAAUGGAAAGAAGUGCCAACGCAAUAGAGGAUGAAAGUUUCCUGUGCGUUGGAAGUAAAGAACGUGAAGAGAUAAUUGCAGCAAUUCGGACAGUUAAGUACAAAUGCAUUACACUACACCCCUCUGUAUCUAGCUAUCACAAUGCCUACGUUCUGUGUUUGAUCAGCUAUUUUAAGUGCAGUUUUUCCUUAUGUAGUCUUGGAGAGAGUUAGG